AGUCUCACCGCGACAUAGUGGCCAUCGCGAGAAUGCCAAAGCGGCGUUUUUUCAGAUUCAGAAAUAGUGGAAUUUUAGGAAUCUGAAUGUUUUUUUUUUUCAUUUUUGAGGGUUUUUAAAUAUGGUAUUUCUUUACUAAUGGGCCACCGACUAAUUCCCCCAAUUAAUUCCCUAUUAACUCUUUUUCUAUAUUAAUGCUUCAUCGUGAAGAAGAUUGAUGGGAGAAUUGAAAAGCUUCCAAAUUCUCCUUCUCCUUUCCUCUCCUUCGAACUCUUUUCCUCAUUCUCCUUCUUAGAGACCUAGGCUACAACACAGUAGCACACCUUCUUAAAGUUUCAGGUUCCAAUUCAACCCCAGUUCUUGCAGCACCUCAAAGGCCUGACCCUGGAUGGAAAUUUUGUAAGCCAUUCGAUGAGAAUGAUACUAGUCUAUGUGUUUGCAAUUUCUGUGCUAAAAUCACAAAGGGUGGAAUUACAAGAACGAAGGAGCACUUGAUGGGGAAGAAAGGAAAUGUCACACCUUGUCCUAAGUGUUCGAAAGAGGUCCGAGAUGAAUUGUGGGGAAUCUUGAAGGAAAAGAAUAAAAGACAUCGAAGCAUAUGAAAGGGUUCUCCUUGAUAUUCUUGACAAUGGUUGCUACCGCGGUGAUAGUGAUGAAGAACGUGCUAUGGAUGAAGAACUCGAGAUUGCAACUAGCCCUCAGAGAGAAAAUAAAAAGAAAAAGGUUCCUAAGGGCCAAAUUGAUUUGUACCUCCGAAAACCAGAAGUUCCAUUGCAAAGAAGAAGAAUGAGAAGUUAAGGUAGGAAAAUAUAAGAGCCUCAUGUGAUAAGAAGGCUACAACAAGAGUUCAUCAGUAUAUUGCCCGCUUUUGGUAUCAAGUGGGCUUGUCUUUUAACAUAGUUAAGUUGCAAAGCUUUCAUGACAUGCUUGCGACUGUUGGAAGCUUCAGACCUCAUUUAAAAGCGUCUUCAUAUCAUGACAUACAAGUUCCACUUCUUACAAAGGAAGUAGAGUACACUAAGGAUUUGUUGAAGGUCCAGAAAGAGCAAUGGAAAAUAUUUGGUUGCUCUAUUAUGUCCGAUGCAUGGACUGAUUGAAAACAAAGAUCAGUUAUUAACUUCAUGGUGAAUUGUUCAGCUGGAACAAUGUUUUUGAAAUUGGUUGAUGCCUCUGAUUUUGUGAAAACUGGUGAGAAAUGAGCUGUUUGACUCCAUAAUUGGUGAAGUUGGGGAAGAGAAUGUAGUUCAGGUUAUAACCGACAAUGACCGCAACUAUGUGAGUGCGGAAAAGAUGCUAGAACAAAAAAGACCUAACUUAUAUUGGACACCAUGUGGAACUCAUUGCAUAAAUUUUAUUUUGGAAGACAUUGGAAAGAUCGCUCUCAUAAAGAAAACAAUGCAAAGAGCCAUAUCUCUUGUUGGUUACAUCUACGGUUACUCUAGUACAUUGAGCUUGUUGAGGUUCUAUACCAAGAAAAGAGAAUUGGUAAGACAUUCUGUUACAUCCUAUCUUACAUUGAAAAGAUUACAGAAGGAGAAACGAAAUCCGAGGAAGAUGUUUGUGUCAAACAAUUAGACAACUAACAAGUUGUCCAAAGAGGAAAAAAGCAAGGAAGCAACAAAAACUGUUUUUAUGAACUCUUUCUGGAACAAUGUUUGUUUUACACUAAAGGUCAUGGGUCCACUGUACUACGCCUAGCGGACAUCGAGAAGAAACUUGCUAUGGGUUAUAUCUAUGAGGCUAUGGAUAUGGCCAAAGAAGCAAUCAGAGCUUCCCUUGGUGACGACAACAACAAAUAUGGAAAUAUAUGAGAAAUCAUAGACAAUAGGUGGAAUAGUCAACUACAUCGCUCAUUGCAUGCUGCUGAUCACUUCCUGAACCCAGAGUACUACUAUAAUGAUCUAUAAUUGGACUAUGAUUUUGAGUGCAGAAAGGGAUCUAUGACUGUGUAGAAAGGUUGUCGCCUACUGAUGAACUAAGGAAGAAGAUACUUACAGAGCUACCAAUUUACAAAUCUGGUGGUGGCAUGUUUGGAACUAGAUUUGCAAUUGAACAAAGGGGCGCAAUUGCACCAGCUCAAUGGUGGAGAAUGUAUGGAAAAUCAACACCGAAUUUGCAACGGUUGGCAAUAAAGAUCUUAAGUUUGGCUUACAGUGUUUCUGGGUGUGAACACAAUUGGAGUGUGCUUGAACAACGUCUUUAUAGAUUCAUACAAAGAAAAGAAAUAAGCUUGAGCAUAAGAGACUUGAGGACUUGGUGUUUGUCAAGUAUAAUCAAGCACUAGUAAGAAGGUACAAUAUUAGAGAUGAGUUGGACCCUAUCUCCUUGGAUGACAUUGAUAAGAGCAAUGAAUGGCUAGUGGGGACGAUGGAUGAGGAUGGAAAUGAUGCUGAAAAUGAUAGGGUAUUUCCGAAUGAUGACCUCACUUGGGAUGUUGUUUACCAAGCUUCAGGAAUUGGAGAGCCUACUAUUAACACUAGGCGAAGAACUAGAAAAAGAAAAGAGGUCCCAACUGCUGCAGAUACUUCAUCUAAGAAGAAGAAAGGUGCUUCCAAGAAAGGAAAAGAGGUGGUGGUUGUUGAAGAGGAAGAAGAAGAGAUAUUAGACAAUGAUUUGGAGGACACGUAAAUACAAGUUAGAAGGAUAUGUUUCACUCUCUGAUGAUGUGGGUGAUGAAAAUUCUGGGAGGAGGAAGAGGAUAAUGAGUUGAACUGUCUUUUGUUGCAUUUACCUUUUACUAUUUUGAGACUUGAGUUUAAAUUCUGUUGUUUUAAGUCUUUAGUCGUUUGAUUUGA